UAGCCGUAAACGAUACUCGCUAGGUGUCGGCCACGGUGCGACCGUUGCCGGUGCCGUAGGGAAGCCGUGAAGCGAGCCACCUGGGAAGUACGGCCGCAAGGCUGAAACUUAAAGGAAUUGGCGGGGAGCACAACAACGGGUGGAGCUUGCGGUUUAAUUGGAUUCAACGCCGGAAAUCUUACCGGGACCGACAGCAACAUGAAGGCCAAGCUGAAGACUUUGCCGGAUUAGCUGAGAGGAGGUGCAUGGCGUAGUCGUG
rnacentral:rRNA from 1 species